AUACCUACCUGGCGUCGGGAUACCGUGAUCAUGCAGGCGGUUCCCCCGGGGUCCGGCUACUACAUUGCACUGCGGAGUGGUUGACCCUUGCGAUUAUUUUUAUGUUUUAUAAAUUUCACUUCUACUGUGUGUGACACAUU
rnacentral:snRNA from 9 species